GCGAGAGUGGCGGAAUUGGUAGACGCGCUGGAUUUAGGUUCCAGUGGGGUGUUCCCCCGUGAGAGUUCGAGUCUCUCCUUUCGCACCA
rnacentral:tRNA from 1 species